AUAUUUACCUGGCAGGAAAGAGGCCAUGAUCGGGCGGGUGGUUUUCCCAAGGCUGAAUUUGGUCUAUUGCACUUCAGAUGUGCCAAUCCCUGCGAGUUCCCCAAAUGUGGGAACUUAACUGCAGGCUUGUGUUGUAGGGGGGCUGUGUUUGCACUCUCUCUUG
rnacentral:snRNA from 1 species